AUGGAACCUUCCUUUGAGAUUCUGGCUUCAGCAGGCUCUACCUGUCUCCUUCAUAAUGUUCUGCUCUUCCCUAGAGACUGGGCUCCAGCUUCUGCUGUGGGAACAGGCUUUGUUGUUGUUUUCCCCCAGGGGUGUGCAGAGGGUUUGCAUGGGUGCCCAUUACUUGCUCUUAAGACAUCAGUUAAGAGUUUACAGCCUCCUCUGUUCAUUUCCUGCAGCACAAGCCAGCCUGGUGGCAGCAGACAAGGUGCUCUGCUUGGGCACAUGGGUCGGGGGUUGGGGGGUGAGAGUGUUCCCAAGUCCACCUUCAUUCUUCCCCCUCCCCCAUUACCUGUUGCAAGCUCGGGUGAAGAUUCAACACGUGGAGACUGCAGCCCACCCCCUCCUCCACCGUCCAAGCAGGGCUCAGGGCACCCUCGGAUCCCAGAAUCCUGUCUGCCCAGCCCUGUCGCCUUCUCCCUGGCACGCCUCGCCAGACACCGCGCCCCACCGCUGAGCUCCUGGCAGCCGGCCCGAGCUGGGCAAUACCCGUCGCUUGUCGCUGGGCGGCCACUUCCUGGGUCCAGACGUGGGGGGUUGGGGGUAGUCGUUCCCUGAGGGAACUCAGGCGCCCU
rnacentral:lncRNA from 1 species